AUUGUGCCACUUAAAAAAGGUCCCGUCAUCCACCAUACAUCAGUUCGUCAGUCCUAUUUGUUGAAAAGAAAUGCGGUUUGCUGCUAGCAAGUAUAGAAAAUCAAUUUGCACCCGGCAAGUCUAAUUAAUUAACCAAAAUUAAUCGGACACCGUCAAUUAACAAUCCGUGUUCGUCCGAUUCCAGACGCAUCUGGGUCUGAGAUCCAAUUCAAGAGGAAUAUUUGAAUGUUCGAGACAAGUCACGAGGGGGGCUAGAAAGGAACCGGUUUAUGUCCACGACCCGGAAGUGACUGUUUUACGUCGACUUGAAACUUUGUACGCAGACACGCGGAGGAUUAUUCUUCAUUUGGUCGUGGGUAUGCUGGAGCCUAUCCCAGCUGACUUCGGGAAAGAUGCAGAGUACACCCUGGACUGGUUGCCAGCCAAUCGCAGGACAAACAACCAACAAACUCUCCCAAUAAUAACAUAUUGAACACAAUUCCCACCUUGAACUCACCCAAAACCAGCCCAGUGCCCAAUCUCAUUUUGCAAAAAACACCACUGGGUAAAAGAAAAAAACAACCUUGAAUUGUAGUUAGAUGGCUAAUUUAGCCAAUAACGAUGCAGAGGAAGACAGCUGAGACCUUUUAUGGAAGCCGUAAUAGAACUACGUAAUUGACUGGUGCUCUGUAUCAUCAAGCCGGGCUUACGCCGCUGACUGACAUGUUUUAUCAGCUUCCCAUUGUGUUGGCGUUCUUCCCACUGAGCCAAAGAUGGGAUCCGCUGAGCAAUUCUAUUGUCUUCCACUCCGGUACCGUCUUACGAUAUCAGCAUGCACAGAGUUAUCGGGGGCGGGGGGUCACCACGUAUACAUCCAUAAUGCAAAUUUGGAGUAUCUUCCACUCACUGAAUAGCUAUGCUAUAUACCAACAUGCUAACCACUUGCGGCGACAUCUUGAAUAUAUACUGUAGGUAUAAAUUUGUGGUGAGUUUGGAUUAUGCUUUGUAAAUAUCCAUACCAAUAGCAGUACCGAUAUCAAAUCAAAUUUUCAGGACUCUUCAGUUUAAAACCUCCGUUUUUGUACAAACUGGAUUUUGUAGGAUUUGGUUUCCAAUUAAAAUUAUGGCCACGGUUUUGUCUCGGUUAUCGUAUGGCCAAACAAACUUGUCAAGUGCCCUAACAAUUCAGUCUCUAUGAAGAAUUGGACACUAUAGACAGAUUGCAGCCUUAUUAUGUGUGUGUAUGGUUUAUUCGUUUAUCAAACGCACACGGAAUGAUGAACAACUCUGUAUCUGUCUCCUUCCCUGGUGUGCUCGUUUCAUUUAGGACGGUUAAUUAUGGCCACGAUUUUGUCACGGUUGUAGGAUCCAAAAUUUCCAAUUAAAAUUAUGGCCACGGUUUUGUCUCGGUUAUCGUAUGGCCAAAAAGUGCGCCAAACAAACUAGUCAAGUGCCCUAACAGUUCAGUCUCUAUGAAGAAUUGGACACUAUAGACAGAUUACAGCCUUAUUAUGUGUAUGCAUGGUUUAUUCGUUUAGGACGGAUAAUUAUGGCCACGGUUUUGUCUCGGUUAUCGUAGGGCCAAAAAGUGCACCAAACAAACUAGUCAAGUGCCCUAACAAUUCAGUCUCUAUGAAGAAUUGGACACUAUAGACAGAUUAGAGCCUUAUUAUGUGUAUGUACGGUUUAUUUGUUUAUCGAACGCACACGGAAUGAUGAACAACUCUGUAUCUGUCUCCUUCCCUGGUGUGCUCGUUUCAUUUAGGACGGAUAAUUAUGGCCACGAUUUUGUCUCGGUUAUCGUAUGGUCAAGUGUCCUAACAAUUCAGUUUCUAUGAAGAAGUGGACACUAUAGACAGAUUACAUUCUUAUUAUGUGUGUGUAUAGUUUAUUCGUUUAUCAAACGCACACAGAAUGAUGAACAACUCUGUAUCUGUCUCCUUUCCUGGUGUG